rnacentral:rRNA from 1 species
UACGUAGGGGGCUAGCGUUGUCCGGAAUCAUUGGGCGUAAAGAGCGUGUAGGCGGUCCGGUAAGUCCGCUGUGAAAGUCGGGGGCUCAACCCUCGAAUGCCGGUGGAUACUGUCGGGCUAGAGUGCGGAAGAGGCGAGUGGAAUUCCUGGUGUAGCGGUGAAAUGCGCAGAUAUCUGGAGGAACACCGGUGGCGAAGGCGGCGUCCUGGACCAACACUGACACUGGUGAGCGAAAGCCAGGGGAGCAAACGGG